GUGCUCGCUUCGGCAGCACAUACACUAAAACUGGAAAGAUGCAGAGAAGAUUAGCAUGGCCCCUGACAUGAAAAUUCGUGACGCAUUCCAUAUUAAA
rnacentral:snRNA from 1 species